AAGACUAUACUUCAGAGGAUCAUUUCUGUAGUUUGUCUUCCAUCGUCUUCUUUCAGCAAUGAGAAAAGACACCCAGCCACGUUGAUGAGGUGCGGUGCUUUCUUCUGAGCGUGAAACUUGGCAUGGAAGUUGUCUCUUGCGGACUGACUUCCAUUGCUGCUGAUGAUCGUUCACCGGAUGACUCUUCGGAAUCGACCGGCAAUGAAGAAAGUGCUUUCUGAGUGGU